GUUUGUUUGAUUCAUCUGAAAAUUUCAGGGCUGAUAGAUCUUGACCUAAUGAACAUUUUUACCCCUGUCAGAUUUGCUCUAAAUGCUUCCGUUUUUGAGAUAUAAGCCAAAAACUGCAUUUGACCCCUAUGUUCUAUUUUAAGUAAUGGCGGCCAUGUUUUUUGACGGAUCAAAAAUCGAAGCACACACUUUGUGCAGGAUAAUCUAAGGAAUUAUCAUGCUAAGUUUCAUCCAAAUCCAUUCAGUAG
rnacentral:lncRNA from 1 species